CAGUAGCCGCGGUAAUACGUAGGUGGCAAGCGUUGUCCGGAAUUAUUGGGCGUAAAGGGCUCGCAGGCGGUUUCUUAAGUCUGAUGUGAAAGCCCCCGGCUCAACCGGGGAGGGUCAUUGGAAACUGGGAAACUUGAGUGCAGAAGAGGAGAGUGGAAUUCCACGUGUAGCGGUGAAAUGCGUAGAGAUGUGGAGGAACACCAGUGGCGAAGGCGACUCUCUGGUCUGUAACUGACGCUGAGGAGCGAAAGCGUGGGGAGCGAACAGGAUUAGAGACCCGCGUAGUCCCUGUUUCUUAUAC
rnacentral:rRNA from 1 species